rnacentral:lncRNA from 1 species
CGAGGGUGCCCCGCGAGGGUGCGACAGCGCUUUGCGGCAGAAAAUGCUAUAAAUGAAAUGCUAUAAAUGCCGCCUUGUCUCCACCCGCGUCUCCCUUCCGGCCGCCCGGGCCCAGGGCGCGGCCGCGGCCCCGAGUCCCGGAGCCCCACCUGGGGACUGUCCUUGCCGCCCUUCGAACGUUCUGCCCCCCGACCCUGCCCGGCAGGUCUUCCCUGAAGACCUGUUCACGGGAAAGGGCGUUGGAGGGCUUGACCUUGGAGGGACCGAAAGAGAAACGUCCUUGGGUGGAAGGAAGAAUUCCCCCCCACCCGGGGGGGCUGCUGGGGGCCGCGAUGCCCCAUGAAGGCGAGGGUGGGGGUGGGGCGCGGCUCCCUUUGUGCUGAGCAGGGACCACCAGGCCCUGAGUCUGGGGGUUUUCCUGCCGGCUGGGGCUUAGCCCCACCUCCGCCUGUCCCUCUGCAGGGACUUCUGCGCAAGGCCAGGGCCUGGGGGCCCCUGCUGGUGGUGGGAACACCCCCUCUUGCCAGUUGGGUGUGCCCUGCUUGGACCCUGGGAAAAGUGGGCCCGAAGUUGCAACCUGGGAUUGAGGUGGGAAAGAGGAAAUACUGGGCAGGUCAGCCAGGUAACGGCUCGGCAGGAGACCACAGGGAUGGGUUCCCCCUUCCUUGUGCUCUUCCUAGAUGACAUUUCACCCGACCCCGAGCGAUAGUUCCGGGAGUAAUCCCGACGCAGCGUGGUGUGACCCUCGCAGGUCUCUCACUGCCCCGGGCUACUGUCCUCACGGUGAAAGGCAGUCAGGCGCACCUACUUCCCAGGGUCUCGGCGAGUCUCCAAGGAGCGCUUCCUGCAGCUUCCGGGGCUUGGCUGCGCUCGGGCACACAGCAAGCGCUUAAUAAGCGGUGGCUGCGAGGGGAUCGGCGGGAACUGCCCGGUAGGUCUUCACACCUUUUUGAGAAGCGGCCGCGGGGCUGGGGGGUGGCGGGGCGGCGGCCCCGUCUCAAGCGGCCCGGACGCUAGAGGCCCGAGGGCCCAGGCGCGAGGCUGGGAGCCGCGCGGCGCCUUUAAGAGCCGAAC